CAUCAUCGGUUGCACUGUGCUGAUGAGCCCUCAAAAGGGCGAAACAGCUGUCCACACUUGCCGUUGUUUGAUAUA